AGUGUUUUUCGUGUUUUGUUUUUGUUUUUGUUUUAAAUUCAUGUUAAUGAUUCAUAAAGAUGUCAUAUUGAUUAUGCGUGUAUUUAAGAAAGUUACUCCUGUGACGGUGUUUACAACAUGAAUAUUUAACUAAUCAUAAUUUAUUGAGCGAGUAUUCUUAAGCGUGAAUGUUCUUUCAACCAACUGCUUGAUAUAAUCUAACUCUACGUGUUUUCAUUAAUUCUCCUCAAGUAAAGAAGAUAGAAUUACGUUAGAAAACUAAGAUAUUUUUUUGCAAUGGCUUCACAAAUUUUGCAAGAAGAAGAACAACCAGAUGAUUUUUUACAGAAAACCAAGGAUAUUGAAAACGAAGAGAAAGUUUCAAACCCUAUUCGUUACAAGGACGAACCUGACAUUAGAUUGCGAGAUGAUGUAGAAUAUGUGGAGAAGAAGGUAACGAAGCAGAUUUACGCUGCUUAUGAUAGGGAUGCGUGCCUAUAUGCUCACAACAAAGCACGAAGUUUUCACAAAGUUCCGUCACUCACAUGGAGUGACGAUCUGGCCAAAGGUGCGAAAAAUUGGGCUGUUUACCUUCUCGAGAACGAUUACUUCGAGAAUAAAACCCAUUAUCCAGUAGGAGAGAAUUUGUACAUGAUGCCUUGGGGUGGUCGUUUUCAACGUGUCUACGAUGCUGUAUAUACACAAUAUUCGGAAGUUACAAAUUGCGACUUUAGUCAUCUGGAUCGUUAUUCUCACGAUGAUACAGCGUUUUUAGAAGUUGGAAACUUCUCACAAAUUGUUUGGAAGGAUACCAAACAAGUUGGGUCGGCCAUUGCGUAUGAUCCAAAAGCCAAAAAGACGGUGAUCGUGACCAGAUUCCGUCGAGGACAAACAUACGACUUUAAAGCUCAAGUUCUCCCACAAAAGAUUGAAGUAAACAAAGAAUCAGUUUCCGAAGUGGCGAAGAAAAAAGACCUAGACAAUAUGUGUUUGGUAAGGUUAGGCAGCCCAAUACGUCCUCUUUCUAUCACACGGGGAAAUGCUUUUCAUGGCAACCUAGCCCUCAACAGUUAUGGCGGUUCAACAGUUGGGCUACUUUUGCCCGAUUUUGCCCGGAUGUUUUUGGAACCAAUCUUUUGGUUGUUAAUUUUUUUGGGAUCGAAAGAAAAGAGUGUAUAGCAUCUAUAUGAAGGAAACAUGCCGUGCCAUCUUAGCCGUUGAUAGUCAAUGAGGUGUCAAAACCGUAUAAUCUUUUUUCGCAGUUUUGGGUGACGAUAUUACUAUACCAUUUAACGUCAAUAAUUGAUCGCCUGUGGGAUCGCCGUCUUUUUUUAGCCUGUCACAUAGGAGAAUUAGAAGCUCGGGUCAAAUCUUGUACGUAGCUAACCUUCCUUGCUUUCUAUUGUUUCCGAAAAACCAUUAGAACCAUGGACAUAUUUCUGUAGUGGUUUAGAUAACACUGUAGUAACAAAAUUAUCAUUGUUCUGGCCCUGCACAUAUUUCUGGACCACUAGUGACCCCAUCCCCACCGUUAACUUGCGAUUAUUAAGAAUAAGUCGUACUUCAUGGAAGUUUUCUGAACAAAAAUAGUUUAAGCGUCUGUUUAAUGCUAAAAUAAUGUUUAAUAGACUUAUGUAGUCUUCUUGCUUUUCAUCAUCCUUGUGCUCUUCUCACAAAAACGUCUUGAGAAUCGCAUGCUCUGUUAAACUACUAAUUGUGACAAUAAAUGGUAUUUAGAGAGUAUUGAUAUAUAGAGAAAGUGUUUAUAUUAUUAAGGAAAUGACUUAUGCUAGAACUAGAAAAAUUUUCCAAGAAACUAUUACUUUAUAUUACAUUUUCUUCUGGGCAAAAAAGGCAACUAAAAACGAAGAUAUUACAGUCGUAUGUAUGUAUUUAUUUGUCAUUGUUAUUCUUUGUAACUUUUUUAACCAACGCCGUUAUGCGUUGAUCUAUAGUUAUAUAUGUUAUAGACAAACAAAAAUUGCCAAAAAAGAACAAAAUAUUACACAAAAUAGUUUUAUUAAAGUUGAUAAACAACAAAAUAUUGUGCAAUUGUAUCGAAAUUGUAUUCAAAUUCAUAUUUGGUGUUAUUAAUGUUGAUAAACACCCGAAGAAAACACUAAAACAAAUAAAUGCUAUCAGCAACCAACAUUUUACACAUUUGACAGGCAAAUAAUUUACAACUACGUUGAAGAUAUUCAUCCUUUAUAAUUAUCUGAAUCGCUGGGAUACGUACUGCACAUUGAACUGUCCUUAUGGGUGUCAUAGUACCAACUACCCACUAACAUGAUCAGAUCCACGCUACAGAAUAUAGUAACUCCGUUUAAUCUGGACAGCUUUGCACAUUUUAUGAACUACGCACGCACUCAAACAUUCACUAGCGUUUUUAUUCGCAAACAUCCUUAUAGUGAUAGGAGAUAUCGGCGCCGUGUCUGUCAUUUCGUAAAACAUCGCGCUUUUUGCUGUGAGGAAGAGUGCGUAAAAUAUGUACACAAAAACAUAUCUUCUCCAGUAUUCUUGAUUUUCUGUUUGAACAGACACGGGUGUUGCUUUCCUAAAAUUUUAGUGAACACAACAUGAGUUGCAAUCAUUUGCACCUGAUUGAUUCUCAGAGCGUUAAAUAAUUAAUUGAGUCGUAAUAAUAGCUGCACCUCCCCGAUAAAUGGAUUUACUUUAGAUAGUAAUAAGCCAAACUCAACGAGGCUGAAAAUGUCGAGCCAGACUGCUUUUUUCUGCAGCAGGACACGUGCUCUGGUAGAUAUUGCGAGCAUUAAAGUAACACCAAAAGGCGUUGACAGCAUAUAAUAUUUCCUUUGUUGAUCUGACUUGAAUAUGAAUAUGGAUUUAGUUGCAAACCAAGAACAACAACGAUUAAAGUAUAGCAGUAGAAAAAUUAACAACAAAACAAGAGAAAUAUAACUUUAAUUAUAAUAACAUUCUUUAUCAAUGUUUAAUAUGGAUAAUAAUACAGAUAACAUAGAUUUAAUAACAAUCAAUAUAAAAAGGGUUGGAGGAGGAGGACACAAGUCCCUAGGUUCGCAAGCGAAAAUCAUUUCCAACCGGAGUAUUGCAGAUUAUUGUUAAAUACAUAUAACUCGCACUAUUGACAUCAAGAAAUGGACUUCGCCUAGCUCCGCAAUGAUAGUCUUCAGCAUUAUUAAGCUGGCAAAGGCUAUUUUAAUCAGAGAAUAAAGGUGUGGAAGGUGUUUUCGUCCCUAAAAAAGAAGCAUUUAUUCCGUCCCACGAUGUUCAGCCGACACUUGAACAGGUCGAGACGUAUUUCGUUUAAGAGUGAACAAACAAGAUGACUUUCAAUGAAUAUUUCUUUGUAGUGUUUUGUGUAUUUAUCUUGGGAGUAUGCUACAACAAA